rnacentral:sRNA from 1 species
GCUGGGCAUGGUGGUGCACACCUGUAAUCCCAGCUACUUGGGAGGCUGAGGCAGAAGGAUCACAAGUUCAAGUCCAGCCUCAACAACUAAGCGAGACCCUGUUUCAA